rnacentral:telomerase_RNA from 1 species
GCCAGGGCAAGAGGUGUUUUGCUUUUCUGCUCAGGCAGAUGGCAUAACCCUAACCCUAGGUUUAGAUGCUGGUAAUUCGGCUUUCUUCGAAACUUUGCACCGCAGACACCGUGCAGUCGUUCUAGCAUGCUUCCUGGACGGAGCAGAGUGGAUGGUAAACAAAGAAGCAUGCCCCAUAUGCCCAAAUAAUGGCAGUUGACGCAGAUGUGUUGGCCUAAACAAGACUGGGCGAGCUUGCCUUGCACGUGCUUGCUAUGUUACCUGGAAGGAAACUUCAGCAGUAGAUUCUGUCUAAAGUGUUGACGUUAGGGGUUCGUCCCUGAAUUCCUUUUUAGGCCAAUGUAGUUUGUGCUCUUUGAAGCCUCACAUUUUAGAGUAAAUGAAAGAAUCUGAGUACUUGACUGAUUAAGUUGUUCAUGUCAAGUUAUGAUUCCUUCGGACAUUG